rnacentral:rRNA from 1 species
UGAGGAAUAUUGGUCAAUGGCCGAGAGGCUGAACCAGCCAAGCCGCGUGAAGGAUGAAGGCCCUACGGGUCGUAAACUUCUUUUGUCAGGGAACAAAAUCGGGGAUGUAUCCCCGUCUGCGUGUACCUGAAGAAAAAGCAUCGGCUAACUCCGUGCCAGCAGCCGCGGUAAUACGGAGGAUGCGAGCGUUAUCCGGAUUUAUUGGGUUUAAAGGGUGCGUAGGCGGACAGUUAAGCCGGCGGUAAAAGCCCGGGGCUCAACCCCGGCCAGCCGUCGGAACUGGCUGACUAGAGUGGGCGAGAGGUACGCGGAAUGCGCGGUGUAGCGGUGAAAUGCAUAGAUAUCGCGCAGAACUCCGAUUGCGAAGGCAGCGUACUGGCGCCUUACUGACGCUGAGGCACGAAAGCGUGGGUAUCGAACAGG